GGUGGAUGAGAUUGCAUCAGCCAAAAGUUCAGACAUUGCCGGAAGCAGAGAUGGACCAGAUGGGACCCACACUGGUUCUGGUACCCAUGCCCCAUUUACCGAGAGGUGAAAUUAUCCAUGUGGCAAGCUGGCUUAAGCCACAAAACAAGAUCUCCACCACUGUGCUUGAGAGAAGGAAAGAAGCCACAGAAGGAUCAAAAGAAAUUUGGAUAUGAUUGAAAUUAAACACAUGGAAGAAACUAUUAAACCCACUGCCACUCAGAGAAACUCUUGCCCAAUUCUUGGUCUUUAAGAAGCUUUAUGUAUACGGUUUACUGGCUGUCAAGCAUAACACCCUCUUGUGAAGUGAA